GGGGAGUAAGGGUGUUUGGAGGAGAGAGAGGGGGAGUAAGGGUGUUUGGAGGAGAGAGAGGGGGAGUAAGGGUGUUGGGAGGAGAGAGAGGGGGAGUAAGGGUGUUUGGAGGAGAGAGAGGGGGGAUAAGGGUGUUUGGAGGGGGAGUAAGGGUGUUUUGUCCAGUGGCAUUGCGAAGCGUGUCCAUUGAAAGUGAGUGAAGUCGUCGUGAGUAAAAGUGGUUAGUUGUCUCUUAGCAUUGGAAUGUUACUGCGGGCAGUCACACCGACAGAUACGACAGUUUAAAACCAGGGACCCCUACACAAGCUCACAUGGUACCCUCUUUAUCAGAGCACUACCUUGUGUCACAAAAUGUAUCACAAUAUUUCUUGGCCUUUUCACACGUAACCUAUUUAACAGAGGUUCAUAACCAGUCCAAGAGGACUCUUGUAGGUUUUUCACCCAAUCUAUCAAUUGAAUAAUGUAGUGCAUAUCAGAUCAAUGAAAUAUAAUUGUGUGAAGGUUGGAAGGAAAACCUGGAUACAAAGGGAUCCGCCAGGAUCGGCUUUGAUAACUACUGCAGUCCUCCUACUUGAGUGUUCUGAACUCUAUGGUUCUGAAUGGGAUCAUGUCAGUUCCUGUGUGUCCUCCCGAACCUCCUCCCUCAGAAACCAAAAAGGUCAUGCCUAAUGGACGUGUUGCUUUGCUACCUCAGUUCUAGUGCACAGUCAUAGGCUGAAGACCUCAGUUCUAGUGCACAGUCAUAGGCUGAAGACCUCAGUUCUAGUGCACAGUCAUAGGCUGAAGACCUCAGUUCUAGUGCACAGUCAUAGGCUGAAGACCUCAGUUCUAGUGUAUGACCUUGUCUCUGGAGUCAUAAAUCUCUCCAAUCUCCUCAUUGAUUGCACUUUCGAUGUCGGCUAUUGACGAGCGCAGACCGUAUCAAAACAUCUCCACUCGUCCCUAAGGGGGCCUAUUCAGUCUGUAGAUAGAAAUAUAUUGCUGUACCAGAGACAAUGUUUUUAAUAUCAUGUGGCGUAAAGCAUUGAAUCAGCUCUAUACAAUAUGUUUCUAUCGCUUUCCAUCUUGUUGAAUAAGCCCAAGAAGACCUUCUUUAUCAUGCGUGCGUGUACACACACACGCACACACACACACACACACACACACACACACACACACACACACACACACACACACACACACACACACACACACACACACACACACACACACACACACACACACACACACACACACACACCACCCCCCCACCCACACACACACACACACACACACACACACACACACACACACACACACACACACACACACACACACACACACACACACACACACACACACACACACACCUCCAC
ensembl:lncRNA